CCCCUGUCAGAACCCAGAGUUGGGGGAUAAAGAACUCAGAGGGGGGCUAGGUAAAAUAAGCCAUCCUAUAUGCCAACACCAAGAAAGGAAAACACUGCUACUUUGCGAGUUCCUGCAACACACUAGUUACCUUCAGCGCCACUUACCCAGCCCAGGUUUCAACAACAACGUUGUUACGGCGAGCCAAUCAGCAACAGCUUCUCACCAGAGACCGUGCUAACAGCCAAUCAACAACAGCUUCACACCCAUGUUGCUAACAGCCAAUCGGCUACAGUCUCUACCGCGCUGCUGAAAGUCGGCCAAUCAGCAACAGCUUCACUCCAGCGACCACGCAGGUGAACUGGAGGCGACAGAAUCCGCAACAGCCACCCUUGUGUAACCGUGUUUCCACAGCUAAAAAUGAAUUAGUCUCUAAAUGUUCCUUCUUCAGGGAGUCUGCCCUGAACUUCGAGCUUCCCCACACCUUCUUCCAGCGCUCUUGUUUGCUCGGUGCGUGCUCCACGAGCAUGGCUCUCCCUCUCUUAGCAAAGGGCUGGGCCUCUGGUGUGAGAUACCCGCUGGCUGCCUCUUCCUGGAAGGAGGUCGUUCCCUAGAUGAGGCAGUAGUCGGGCCUCCCCCCCCCUCCCCCCCACUGUUAGCUCAGAUCACUGUUCUAGCACCGCCCCUGGCACAGAGCAUGAGCUCAGUGAGUAGCAUCUGAAUUACUAAACGCACUUCGGGCCCUCUGACUCGUGCUGAGGCUGAGGCCGGGGGGGAUAAGUUGCCAAAGUGCCACGAAGAAAGGUAGGAAACAGCCCAUGGAAGGAAGUGCGCUCUUCCUGGGAGAGCAGCGUGGACUGGAUUUGCAGGAGCUGGAUCCGGACACAAGAAGGCUACGAGCAUUCGGGCAAGAGACUCUGAAUUGUGCCAGCUGGAGGAUCCAGGCUUUGCUGCUGGGGCUCAGUUCCCCCUGCCCGGAGCCUCAUUUGGACGCAAGUGGUGGCCAUUCCCUGUCUGGACACCGUGGGCAGCUGUUGGAGGGGACGACACAAUGCCCAGCUGUUUCCAGGCCAGAUGGACUCCCCGGAGCUGCAAACCCUGCCUGGGAGGGCAGAGCAAAGCCACCAUGUGCGAGGCAGCCUAGGAGCUCAUUCACAGGCGCUCUGACUGCAGCCCCAGCUACAACCCUCCAGAACCAACCACUACCCGCGUGAGACCUGGCCUUUAUGAGCCAUAAAUGAUUCCAACCCCAGCCUUUGAGUUGUUCCAGCCGAUGUUGAAUGAAGCAGAGUUGGGCUAUCCUGGCCAAGUGCUGCCCAAACCAUCAUUUCAUGAGCAAAAUAAAUGUUGUUUUAAAGCACUACCUUUUGGGGCAAUUUGUUAUGUAGCCGUAGUCACUGGAGCACAUGGCUAUUAUCUCCAUCAUCGCUUGUUAGUUGAGUUAAGUGAGGCACAGAGAGGCUGGGGCUGUCUCUCAGGGUAACACCGUGGGUAUGUGGCAGCAUCGAGACUUGAAUGUAGGCCUGCCUCGUCCCUCCACACAAUGCUGGUUCUAGGGGCCAUGCGUCUACCUAAAGUGAGCCUGUGUGAGACAGUUCAUUGAGUCCUCCUCUGCCAGCCUUGAACUUUACGGGAACCCAAAGGCAGAGAUGAGGAGACCUCAGGAGAGCUGGGGGUUUAGCAGCAUCCAUUUGGGAGGUCGCAGAGGGAGUGGCUGUCCAGUCUCUGGCACCCACGUCCAGAGUUCCAGAACUCAGUUCUCAGAAAAGGAGCAACAGACUAGGAAGGAGCAGAGAUCUGUUGUGACACCAGUUAACGGGGCAAUCUUGGGCAGUCGCUUUUUGUCAUGUGCCUCAUUUUCUCCAUUUGUAAAGUGGGCAAGGUGUGGGAUUUGACAAGGGGAUGAGCAGGAAGGGUACUACCAGGAAGGGACAGGCUGCUUGGGGGCAGGGAGUGUCGGGGGUCCUGUGCACGGAACUGGGCCUACUGCGGGAAGCAGAGGAGGCAGGCGGGUGGGCCAGGGGCUUGCAAGGGACUGUGGGGUGGAAUUAAGAGUGUACUGGGGACUGGAACUAUGUGGUGUUUAUGCCAUGUUGGAGAGACGGUCUGGUCAGCAGGGAGCUUACUCAGCACCCCGAGCCUGGCGUAUGGGUCGCAGCUCAGCCUGUGUUUCACUGGGUGACAUCAGGUAAGCCCUUCCUCCUUUCCACGCCUCAGACCUGUCCUGUGGAAAUGUACGUAGAUGUGUGUCUGUUCUUCCUAGUCCUAGUGCCCUGGAAUCCUGGGGUCCUGCCCUCAUCGGGUCUCCUGGCUCAGCUCUGGGAUGUUGCUCUUAGGGAAAAGCUCCCGCACCUGGGCUGCCUCCAAGAGUAUGGGCUGAGGGACCCCGGCUGUCCUGUCCUAGAUGGUGCAUCUUUCUUGUGAGGACAUGUUGCUGGAGCGUGGCCCUUUAGGAUGCUGUUGAUGAAGUGUCACAAGCACCUUACAGGUGGAGAGAAAGUGCUGUGUGCUUGACAGCUACGGGAAGAGCUGGGGGUGGGGCAGGAAGAAGCAGCUGUUCUGUUCCCUCUGUGGCCUUCCAAGGGGGUCCCCACUGCAGGACCAGGACACAAACUAGCUGCCCAGCCCCCACUGGAGGCUUGCAGGGAGUGCCCUGACUUCUCAAGUAUGUUAGGGAGAACACUUUGCACAGCAAAGGUGAAGCAGAAAGUGGAGGCUGGAGUUAUUCACAUCAGUCUGGGAUAAGGCUUUUUGGAAAUAGAAUUCCCUUUCAUGUUGCAAAAAUAAUCCAUAUGUGCUGCAAAUACCAGAGAUAACUGCUUUUGGUGUGUUUGUAACACCCUUUAGAGAGAAUUCUCCUCCUCCUUCCUCACCCUCCCCUCUCUCCCUCCUCCUUCCCUCCCCUUCCCCCUCCCCAUCCUCUUCCUCCUCCACCAUCUUCUUCCUCUCUCUCAGACACACACACACACACACACACACACACACACACACACACCCAUUCUGUGUCAACUAACACAGAUCCCCCCUGUCAUUUUUAACCUUUCUGUCACUUUUCACUGGAGGUAUAUAACAACAGUCUUGUUCCAUUUGUCCUGUUUCACUGUUAUCAUAAUGCUUGAUUGACAUCUGUAUACAAAUUUCUUUGCCUUCUUGCCCAAUUGUGUCCUUAAGUUAUGUCACUAGGAGGAUUAAUCGCUGUGUCAAAGAGUACCCAAGUUUUCAAGGCUUUUCAUACAGACUGUCCCAUUUCUUUCUAAGGAGGCUAUUCCGAAAUGCAUUCCCGUCAGCAGUGUGUGAGAGCGUCAGGUCCCCACCCCCCGGGGUCUUUUUCUUGUUCAUUCUCACCAGUCUGAUAGGUGAAAAAUGGUAUUUCAGUUGUUGAAGACUUUGUGUCCUGGCGGAGCACCAUAGUCUUUCCGGUACAGUCCAUACUCUUCCUUGAGCACCAGACUGUGUGCACAGAGUCACCUCUGUGCCCUGAGGAUGCUCACCACACAAUCUGUUCUCUGCCCACUGCUUGGCUGUGUGUGUUUUGCUGCCAAGACUUAGAAAAUGACAGAUAGGGAGCGCCUGGAUGGCUUGGUCAGUUACACAUCCGACUCUUGG